UACGUAGGGGGCAAGCGUUGUCCGGAUUCAUUGGGCGUAAAGCGCGGGCAGGCGGCCCCGCUCAGUCGGCCGUGAAAGCGCCGGGCUCAACUCGGCGAGGUCGGGCGAUACUGGCGGGCUCGAGGCUGGUAGAGGGCGGUGGAAUUCCGGGUGUAGUGGUGGAAUGCGUAGAGCUCCGGAGGAACACCAGUGGCGAAGGCGGCCGCCUGG
rnacentral:rRNA from 1 species